CACGUAGGGGGCUAGCGUUGUCCGGAAUUACUGGGCGUAAAGGGCUUGUAGGUGGCCAACUAAGUCAGACGUGAAAUCCCUCAGCUUAACUGGGGAACUGCGUCUGAUACUGGAUGGCUUGAGUUUGGGAGAGGGAUGCGGAAUUCCAGGUGUAGCGGUGAAAUGCGUAGAUAUCUGGAGGAACACCGGUGGCGAAGGCGGCAUCCUGGACCAACACUGACACUGAGGAGCGAAAGCCAGGGGAGCAAACGGG
rnacentral:rRNA from 1 species